GAAUCCUACCUGCAGUUAGUAACUGUAAAAGCAAUGGAAUAAAACCAUUUCUCUCUAGUUUUCAUAAACAGUUCAGUGUGUAGAGAAGUUCCACUUGUGAGUGUGGAAUUAUGUUUUCUGAACCUACUUUCUAAAAAGUUAAUAAGCAUUCUUCUAGAUCAGUUUUAGCUUCCUGGCAAAACUGAGAGGCAAGUACAGAGUUCCCAUACAUCCCUCUCCCUCCACACACAGCUCACACUACCAUCAGAAUCCUACUGCCUAGUGAUACAUCACUACAAUCAACGCACCUACACUGACACAGCGUCAGCACCCCCACACCCAUAGCUGACUCUGGAAUUCACUCUUAGUGUUCCACAUUCUAGGGGCUAUGGCCACUGUGUGAUGACAGGUAGCCAUGGCUACACUAAAAGACGAUGAAUAGUUCUACUGCCUGCUUUGGUCUGAACAGGUCGAAGUGUGUGCCUCAAAUGGUCCCAACUGUGGCAAUGCAAGAUAUUCAGCAUAUUCACUUUCCUACCUGAUGGGAUACUGGCUGAAUGAUUGACAGACGGGCUGGUGCGUGGACCCAGGCGGCGCGCUCAGGGCUGGGCAGACGUGAUUAUCAUCGCCCCUGCUGUAGUCCAUCAGAGCCGGGUGUUAGCAGCCAACAACAACAACAAAAACUCUUCAUUCGAUUGAGAUUGCAAACAAGUGUGCUGAAUUGGGUACAUCUCUUCUUUACCGCUGCUGUAAGGGCAUUGCUUUUUGACAGGACAUCAAGGAACCAGGGCGACGCUGAAAAUGUGAAAAUGAUUUCUCAUGCUCCGUGGACACUCGCGGGGAAAGGACCAUUCGUGGAUAGUCCAGAAUCUCCCUUACCAUCUACUCAGCCCCACGCUCCCCGAUCUUCCUGGAUUUCAAGUAAGUCUCAGUCCUUACAGGUGUUUAUGAGGCUGGGGGCUCCAGCUCCACCUCGUCGCCUUCCUCCCUCUCUGUGGCCUCACACUGUGCCUGUGUCCUGUGGGCACCCUCCCCGAAAAGAGCCCUGGGCUUGCAGCUCCCUCUGCAUAGUGCUAUCCUGUCCCCUAUGAGCUUGGCUGCUUCCCCCAAAAUCAUCUUCUCAGCAAAGCCUUCCUUGCCUGUUCCCUGCUAACUGGCAGCCCUCCUCCCCAGGGGCCCUGGUGAUGGGUUUCCUUUGUAACUCCCACCCUGUGGGAGUUGAUCUAUUGACCUCCUCUAUUAAUUUCUCCCUCCACUAGGAAGCGACCUCUAAAGGAGAGAUUUGCUCUAUUUGGUUUGCUUUACUGAUGAAUCCUCAGCCCUUGGCAUAGCUCUUGGAAUAUACGAGGUGGUACUCACUAAGUGUUUGUUGAUCGAAUGCAUGAUGGUGUCUUAUGUUUGUAUUUGUUGUAUCUGCUGACCCUACUUCUUGGAGUAAGAAAGUUGGUUGUGGGGCCAGUGUUGUGGCAUAGUAGGUAAAGCUGCUGCCUGCAAUGCCAGAGUCCCAUAUGGGUGCCGGUUUGAGUCCUGGCUGCUCCACUUCUGAUCCAACUCCCUGCUAAUGGCUUGGGAAAGCAGCAGAAGAUGGCCCAGGCCCUUGGGCCCCUGCACCUGCUUUGGAGAACCGGAAGAAGCUCCUGGCUCCUGACUUCAGUCUGGUCCAGCCCUGAGUGUUGUAACCUUUUGGGGAGUGAACCAGAGAUUGGAAGAUGUCUCUGUCUCUUCUUCUCUCUGUAACUCUGCUUUUCAAAUAAAUGAAAUAAAUCUUUUAAAAAGAAAGAGAAC
rnacentral:lncRNA from 1 species